rnacentral:rRNA from 1 species
CCUACGGGGGGCUGCAGUGGGGAAUAUUGCUCAAUGGGCGAAAGCCUGACGCAGCGACGCCGCGUGAGGGAUGAAGGUCUUCGGAUUGUAAACCUCUGUCAGCAGGGAAGAACGGUCACUGUGCUAAUCAGUAGUGAAUUGACGGUACCUGCAAAGGAAGCACCGGCUAACUCCGUGCCAGCAGCCGAGGUAAUACGGAGGGUGCGAGCGUUAAUCGGAAUUACUGGGUGUAAAGCGCUCGUAGGCGGUAUGUCAAGUCAAGGGUGAAAUCCCCGCGCUCAACGUGGGAACUGCAUUUGAUACUGGGAAACUGGAGUGUGGGAGAGGAUAGUGGAAUUCCAGGUGUAGGGGUGAAAUCCGUAGAUAUCUGGAGGAACAUCAGUGGCGAAGGCGACUAUCUGGCACAUAACUGACGCUGAGGCGCGAAAGCGUGGGUAGCAAACAGGAUUAGAUACCCGAGUAGUC